rnacentral:lncRNA from 1 species
GGCUGUGCCCCUGAGCUGAGCUGGGAAGGUCCACAGAAAACAUCCUGGGGUCCUGAGCUGAAGUGUGAUGGGAGGAGUCCUCUGUAUCUCAGUCUGAUCCUGGUCUCCCUCUCGGCCAUGGUCUCACACUAGUGCUGCUGGGAAACCAUCCCUCACAUCCAGUCCUGGCAUCGGGCAGUGACUCUGGUCCAACUGUUGUCCAACUCAAGGGUUUAGCUGCUUAGAUUUUCCUAAAACUUGAAUUUCAUUUUCCUCUAGCCAUGGAAUACAGAUUAAUCCUUUACAAUUAAAAUCCAAGUUCAGAUUUUAUUUGUUGUGGUUUUUAAUUAAAAUCUCACCAG